UGAUCAGCCAUUCCGCGUGAGUGAAGAAGGCCUUCGGGUUGUAAAGCUCUUUCGGCAGGGAAGAAACAGUUGAGGCUAAUAUCCUUGACCAAUGACGGUACCUGCAUAAGAAGCACCGGCUAACUACGUGCCAGCAGCCGCGGUAAUACGUAGGGUGCGAGCGUUAAUCGGAAUUACUGGGCGUAAAGCGUGCGCAGGCGGUUUUUCAAGUCUGAUGUGAAAGCCCCGGGCUUAACCUGGGAACUGCGUUGGAAACUGAAAGACUAGAGUGCGGCAGAGGGGGGUAGAAUUCCACGUGUAGCAGUGAAAUGCGUAGAUAUGUGGAGGAAUACCGAUGGCGAAGGCAGCCCCCUGGGUCGACACUGACGCUCAUGCACGAAAGCGUGGGUAGCAAACAGGAUUAGAUACCCUGGUAGUCCACGCCCUAAACGAUGUCAACUAGUUGUUGGGGAGGGAGACCUCCUUAGUAACGCAGCUAACGCGUGAAGUUGACCGCCUGGGGAGUACGGUCGCAAGAUUAAAACUCAAAGGAAUUGACGG
rnacentral:rRNA from 1 species